UUAUGCUGAUAAGAGCGUAUGGUGGAUGCCUUGGCACUAAGAGCCGAUGAAAGACGUGAUAAGCUGCGAAAAGCUUCGGGGAGGGGCAAAUACCCAUUGAUCCGGAGAUUUCUGAAUGGGGAAACCUACCUGAGCAAACCUCAGGUAUCCUGACGCCAAUCCAUAACGUCAGGAAGGGAACCCGGUGAACUGAAACAUCUAAGUAGCCGGAGGAAGAGAAAACAACAUGUGAUUCUGUGAGUAGCGGCGAGCGAAAACGGAAGAGCCCAAACCAGUGUGCGUGCAUGCUGGGGUUCGGACCGCGGAAUUGAUUCAACAAGUUUAGCAGAACGGUUUUGGGAAAGCCGGCCAGAGAGGGUGAAAGCCCCGUAAGCGAAAGACGAGUUGACAUGGCGGGAUCCAGAGUACCACGAGACACGUGGAACCUUGUGGGAAUAUGCGGGGACCACCCCGUAAGGCUAAAUACUACUUAGUGACCGAUAGCGCAUAGUACUGUGAAGGAAAGGUGAAAAGGACCCCGGGAGGGGAGUGAAAGAGAACCUGAAACCCUGUGUUUACAAGCUGUGGAAGUUCUUUAAAUGAACAACCGCGUACUUUUUGUAGAACGGUCCGGCGAGUUGCGGAUACUGGCAAGGUUAAGCACUUAAGGUGCGGAGCCGAAGGGAUACCAAGUCUUAACAGGGCGUUAAGUCAGUAUACGCAGACCCGAAACCGGGUGAUCUAUCCAUGUCCAGGUUGAAGUUGUCGUAAAAGACAAUGGAGGACCGAAGCCACAUCCGUUGAAAAGGGUGGGCAUGAGGUGUGGAUAGGGGAGAAAUUCCAAUCGAACCCGGAGAUAGCUGGUUCUCCUCGAAAUAGCUUUAGGGCUAGCCUCAUACGAGUCUUGCGGAGGUAGAGCACUGAAUUCCUAAGGGGGCGUCAAAGCUUACUAAGGGAUAUCAAACUCCGAAUGCCGUGUAGAUGAUGUAUGGGAGUCAGACGAUCCGAGAUAAGUUGGGUGGUCAAAAGGGAAAGAGCCCAGACCAACAGCUAAGGCCCCAAAAUGUGUGUUAAGUGGAAAAGGAUGUGGGAUUUCGAAGACAACUAGGAUGUUGGCUCAGAAGCAGCCAUCCAUUCAAAGAGUGCGUAAUAGCUCACUAGUCGAGAGGUCCUGCGCCGAAAAUGUCCGGGGCUGAAACACACUGCCGAAGCUCAGGAAUUAACUGAUGUUAAUUGGUAGAGGAGCAUUGUAUACGGGACGAAGCAGUACCGAUAAGGAGCUGUGGACUGUAUAGAAGAGAGAAUGCCGGAAUGAGUAGCGAGAGGAAGGUGAGAAUCCUUCCGGCCGAAUAUCUAAGGUUUCCAGAGUAAAGCUGAUCUGCUCUGGGUAAGUCGGGGCCUAAGGCCAGGUCGAAAGACGUAACCGAUGGACAACAGGUUGAAAUUCCUGUACCUUAAGUAAACAGAACUGUGGGGACACGUGUGGAGAGCACAAGCCGGAAAUGGAAAAGCCGGUGCAAGCGGGGUAGGAGAUGAACAGGCAAAUCCGUUCAUCAAUCCGAAGACGUGAUGCGGACCGAAUUAAGAGUAGGGAAGUGUGUGAGCCAUGCGUCAAGAAAAGCCGCUAUUGUUUUACUUAAGCCCGUACCGUAAACCGACACAGGUGGAUGAGGAGAGAAUCCUAAGGCCGACGGGAGAAGCAUUGUUAAGGAACUCGGCAAAAUGACUCCGUAACUUCGGGAGAAGGAGUGCCAGUAAGAUGGCCGCAGAGAAUUGGCCCAAGCAACUGUUUAGCAAAAACACAGGUCUAUGCAAAACCGAAAGGUGAGGUAUAUGGGCUGACGCCUGCCCGGUGCUGGAAGGUUAAGAGGAGAUGUUAGAGCAAUCGAAGCAUUGAAUUUAAGCCCCAGUAAACGGCGGCCGUAACUAUAACGGUCCUAAGGUAGCGAAAUUCCUUGUCGGGUAAGUUC
rnacentral:rRNA from 1 species